rnacentral:rRNA from 1 species
UACGUAGGGUGCGAGCGUUGUCCGGAAUUAUUGGGCGUAAAGGGUGCGCAGGCGGCCAAGUGUGUUAGGCGUGAAAGCCCGGGGCUUAACCCCGGAAUUGCACCUAAAAACUACAUGGCUAGAGCAUUGGAGAGGGUAGCGGAAUUCACGGUGUAGCAGUGAAAUGCGUAGAUAUCGUGAGGAACACCAGAGGCGAAGGCGGCUACCUGGACAAUUGCUGACGCUCAGGCACGAAAGCGUGGGGAGCAAAAGGG